CCCCAAACAUUUCAUAACCAAUAAUAUGUACACUUCUCUGCAAUUUUUUUAAGGGACGACACGAGGUUUAAAUAUUCUUGAUUUUUAUUGGUUUGCUUAAAUGAUAAAUAAAAUUAAACUUUGAUUGAGGAUUAUUUGUUGGUUUGGAUCUAUAUUUCAAUGGAAUUAUUUUGUGAAAAUUUUUAGAUGACAAUUUCCCUCCGUCACCGACCACCCUCACCCACCGAAGCGUUUCCCCUGUGUCUCAGCCUCCAAUCACGCAACCCUUCCCUUCGCAAGCUCUCUAUCCUCCUCAACCACCGUAAAGCUCUCUCUCCUCUCUUCCAACCAUAUCUCCUCUUCUCCGAACCACCAUCACGUAGCUUCACCUCAGCCGAGCCCACCCUGCUCUUCCUCCUCUUUGCGCUACCUUCCCCUUCGGCUUCAACAUCACAUCGCAACCUUCCCUUCCUCGCCGAGCCUGUCUCAACCUCCAGUCUCAACCACCUUGUCCAGCCCCCUCCCUCUACCCUUUCCGUCGCCGUCAGGUCCAGAGACCACAGAGUCCUCUUCUUUGCGAACCACUCCUACACAGCCCCUGUCUCUCGUUCUUUCUAGGUUGAAGAACAGAGCAAGUUCAAGCUCUUGUUCUCUUCAUCUUAGGUGAGUUCCAGCUGUUGCGACACCACCCCUGUUCUCCAUUCCUUGCAGCGAGCUUCCUGCCAUUGGCGACCGUACAUCUUCCAUCCACCAGCUACUACGACAACAACCCUGUCCCCUUUCCUUCUAUCGUAUUCUAAUUCUCUGCUUCCAGAAUGAGUCAUCGUAAGCAACAAGAAAAGUAGAAGAAGCGAAGCGAUGGAUAUGGAUGCGGAGGAUACCCGUAACAAAAAUCAUGAUUAGUGAAGCACCGGCCCCCUUUGGUCCUAGUUAGCACACAGAGGACUGUGCGACAUUCAAGUGUAUGUGGGGGAGGAGACUUAGAGCGACAUUUUAGUUGUAAAAGAAUUACUAUGUCUUUUAGAUUUUCAGUUAGCUAUUUGGUUACUUUUAAUUCUCUUUUGGUAGUUGUAUUUUAUUUUGGUUUGUGUAUAACUUGGUUAUCUUUUCUAGUUUUACUUUUAGUUAAUUGCAUUUUAUUUUGGUUUGUACAUAACUUAAAUAUCUAUUCUAGCUUUAGUAUAUUUUCUUCCCUUAA